UUAGGUGAAAGGCUACUUCUGGCAUCUACUUUCCCAGUGGUUACAGGAGAGAGCCAGAGGUCACCGCUAACAAUGAGAAGAGCUGGGUGUUUCCAUGGAGACCAGCCAUCACCACCAUUUCAGAGCUCGCACACUCCAGGACAACUUGCAUGCCCAUUUCGUUGCUUUUAGAAGGCCUUUGAGCCAGAUGAGUGUAAUCGUCAGUGUGAUUAUCUCUCUGUUUUUAUGGCAUUUGGUAGAUGGUGGUGCCGAUUGCGGAGAUGCACAGAUCCGGCCGAGUGGAGAAAGCCAGAGGUCAGAUGCUCUUAUGGAAAACCUCCGCUCCUGCUUUGAAAGGCCGUUCUUAGCUUCUUGGCCUCCAAACUGUGCUGAAAUUAGAACAAUUCAAAGUUCAGGAGAACCUCUUAAGAGCUCCACUGUGCGCUUUCAAAGGGAGGGCUAAAACCGCAAGGCCGUUCCCCAACCCAAGUGCUGUUCUUGUUUGUGUGGAGACGACGUGACAGCGUCCUGCCUCUUCUCCACAUCAUCAUGGCCAUCCGGCUCCAGGAGCAGUUCCCAUCUUCAAGGCUACCCUUCUGUGACCACGGGUGGCAUCAUCCUCAUUACCAGAGAUGGAGGUUACAGAUGGAGAAACUGAGGACAGAGGUGUGGGGCCCCAGACUACGUUGGUAACUAGAAGGGCCUGCUACAGAGGACAUGCUUGCUUGGAAUCCAUGCUGCUAUCCACUAACUGCUCCUGCCACUUGCACUGGAGUGCUAGAACUGGGCCAGAAGUUAGAUCAAGCCUUCACUCUGAAUGCCUGCCUUCUGUUGACUCUCCGGAGUCAAGGUCUAAUUCAGGACUGUGUAGUAGUUUGGGUCCUCCUAUAAACACUGUGAAGAUGAGUCAAAGCACAGUAACAACUGGAUAUUAAAUAACUCUGU